UACAGAGGGUGCAAGCGUUAUUCGGAAUUACUGGGCGUAAAGAGCACGUAGGCGGUCAUGUAAGUCCGAUGUGAAAUCCCUGGACUCAAUCCAGGAAGUGCAUCGGAUACUGCUAGACUAGAGUACAGGAGGGGAGAGUGGAAUUUCUGGUGUAGAGGUGAAAUUCGUAGAUAUCAGAAGGAACAACAGUGGCGAAGGCGACUCUCUGGACUGUCACUGACGCUGAGGUGCGAAAGCGUGGGGAGCAAACAGG
rnacentral:rRNA from 1 species